CAUAGAGGUAUUUACUAUAGUGUAGUGUAGAAGACAGAGGAGACAUAGAGGUAUUUACUAUAGUGUAGUGUAUAAGACAGAGGAGACAUAGAGGUAUUUACUAUAGUGUAGUGUAUAAGACAGAGGAGACAUAGAGGUAUUUACUAUAGUGUAGUGUAGAAGACAGAGGAGACAUAGAGGUAUUUACUAUAGUGUAGUGUAUAAGACAGAGGAGACAUAGAGGUAUUUACUAUAGUGUAGUGUAUAAGACAGAGGAGACAUAGAGGUAUUUACUAUAGUGUAGUGUAGAAGACAGAGGAGACAUAGAGGUAUUUACUAUAGUGUAGUGUAUAAGACAGAGGAGACAUAGAGGUAUUUACUAUAGUGUAGUGUAUAAGACAGAGGAGACAUAGAGGUAUUUACUAUAGUGUAGUGUAGAAGACAGAGGAGACAUAGAGGUAUUUACUAUAGUGUAGUGUAUAAGACAGAGGAGA